GACAGAGGGUGCAAACGUUGUUCGGAAUUACUGGGCGUAAAGCGCGUGUAGGCGGCCAUCUAAGUCGGGCGUGAAAUCCCACGGCUCAACCGUGGAAGUGCACUCGAAACUGGAUGGCUAGAGUCCUGGAGAGGAAGGUGGAAUGCUUGGUGUAGAGGUGAAAUUCGUAGAUAUCGAGAGGAACACCGGUGGCGAAGGCGGCCAACUGGACGAAUACUGACGCUGAGACACGAAAGCGUGGGGAGCAAACAGG
rnacentral:rRNA from 1 species